AUCCAGCUGACGAGUCCCAAAUGGGACGAAACGCGCAUCCUGAAU
rfam:Schistosoma margrebowiei strain Zambia genome assembly, scaffold: SMRZ_contig0001193